GCCGCAGAUGCUGCAGUCCAGGAAGUAGCCGCAGGUCGUUGAUGGUCACCCCGGCGAAGUUGAUAAUGGCAUUGAUGCCCGUGAGAACGGGGCACACACGUCGCAACAGCUGCAGGUUGCCCACUGUCACACAGCGUUUGGCACUUCUUCCCUGAAUAUAAAAGCAUAAAAAGAAAAAACAAGAAGAGAAGAAAAAAAAUAAGAAAACCUGUAUGUCAGUCACAGAAGAUAAUUUUUCUCCUAUACCAUGUGCUGCUACUUUCUUCAUUAGUCACCUGUAAGGAUCUAUCAGAAACCUUACUAAAAUCGACAUGCAGAGUAGAAGAAGUGUGAUGUGGAGAAUGAUGGGCCAAUACCUGCCCCUCACCAUGCUGUUGUAGGGUACAUUGGUACCUGUAAUGGUUCUUGUUCAUCAUGCCUAGUGUCUCAGUCAAGACACAGUGCAGCGACCAUUCAGAAAGGUAUAUCAUUGCUAACCUAUACUUCUUUCUUUCUUUCAACAAACCGGCCAUAUCCCACCAAGGAGGCAGGGUGGCCCAAAAAGAAAAACGAAAGUUUCUCUUUUUAAAUCUAGUAAUUUAUACAAGAGAAGGGGUUACUAGCCCCUUGCUCCCUGCAUGUUAGUCGCCUCUUACAACACACAUGGCUUAUGGAGAAAGAAUUCUGCUUCACUUCCCCAUGGAGAUAAGAGGAAAUGAACAAGAGCUAGAACUAUUAAGAAAACCCAGAUGGAUGUGUAUACAGUGGAGCCUCUACUUGUGAGUGCAUCCACGUGCUAGUUUUUCCAAAUACGAGCAGUCAAUGGGCUAAUUUUUUGCUUCCAUAAGCGAGCAGACCUCUAGGCAGGUUCCUUGACGCUGAUGAGGGGCUCUUGCUCUUGAUCUAGGGAAUUGUAUGUCAUUUGUUUGUUGGACUAUCUUAUUGAAACUUGGGCAAUGUAUGAUGGAAAGAUGCUUCUUAAUGUACACCAAAAAUGAAAGAAAUCUAAGCAUAAAUAAUGGAGUUCACUUCUCAGCAGUUAGCCACCCCUUAGCGGUAUUUUCGUAUGGUUUUUAUGGUCUCAUUAAAUAGAAUGGAAGAUAUAUUACAGAAAUAGAUAUGAUUUUGAUUGCUUUCUUGACGAAAAGUACCUUGAAAUUGAGCUCAACGUAGGAGAAACAUUUGAUUAUUUUGGCUAUGUUCAAGAGUAAACAAAUUAAGUUACUGUCAAUUCCAGUAUGCAGUCGUGAAUGGGUUGACAUUAUUUAUACAAUUAUUGCAAUAAGGCAUAACAGUAAAUCUUAUAUUUUUUGUGUGAAUAAAAAUUACAUAUUCUUUAUUUUCUAAUAAUAAUAAUACGUAAUAAUAGUAAUAGUAUAAUAUAAUACAAUAAUAAUAAUAAUACAGUGGACCCCCGCAUAACGAUUACCUCCGAAUGCGACCAAUUAUGUAAGUGCGUUUGUACGUGUAUGUUUGGGGGUCUGAAAUGGACUAAUCUACUUCACAAUAUUUCUUAUGGGAACAAAUUCGGUCAGUACUGGCACCUGAAUAUACUUCUGGAGUGAAAAAAUAUCGUUAACCGGGGGUCCACUGUACAUGUAUAAUAUUAAUGUACUACAUAAUAAUAAUUAUAAUAAUAGACGGCUUUAAAAGGCCGUCACUAGAUGGCAAUGUUUACCACAACCAAGAGGGAGCAGUUGUGGCCGCCUCCACCUGUUACAUAAUGACAUAUUUUAUUCAUUCUAGAGUAUAUAUCAGGUUUCUAUGUUAUUUAUAUUGUUUAUUAUUUCACAUUAGAUGAACUGUGAUAGAUAAAUAAGCCGCAGAGUUGAUAGUGAAAUAUUCAAGGAGUAUUUUGUCCUGUCUCCAGACAAACUGUUGUCGGCCACCGCCACAUAUAUACUAAUGACGUACAGUAUUUUAUUCAUUCUAGAAUAUAUAUCAGGUUUCUUUGUUAUUUAUAUUCACUGGGGGUAUGUUGCAUCACCUGCCAAGUCUUUUGCUUUUGUAGGGAGUGAUUUGUGUGUGCAGAUUAGGGACCAGUCCCUCAAGGAUCUUCCAGGUGUUGAUUAUGAUAUAUUGCUCUCACCUGCACUCCAGUGAGUACAAGUCAAGUGCUUCCAGGCGCUCCCAGUAGUUAAGGUGUUUGAUGGAACUUAUACGUGCAGUAAAGGUUCUCUGUACAUUCUCUAGAUCUGUAAUUUCAUCUGCCUUGAAUGAGGAUGUUAAUGUACAGCAGUAUUCCAGCCUAGAGAGAACAAGUGAUUUAAAAAGGUUCAUCAUUGGCUUGGCAUCUCUUGUCUUGAAUGUUCUCAUUAUCCAUAAUAUCAGUUUCCUUGCAGAUGUGAUAGUGGCACUGUUGUGAUCCUUGAAGGUGAGAUCCUCAAACAUUACCACUCCCAGGUCCCUCACAUUACUUUUCCACUUUAUUAUGUGAUUAGAGUGUGUAGUAUACUCAGUUCUAGCUGUUAUUUCUUCCAGUUUUCCAUAAUGGUUUAGUUGGAAUUUGUCUUCAUUGAACAUCAUAUUGUUCUCCAUUGCCCAUUGGAAAACUUGGUUUAUAUCUUCUUGGAGAUUUGCUGUGACCUCAAAGAAUAACACACUCAUGCAGAUCCUAGUAUCAUCUGCAAAGGAUGAUACAGUGCUAUGGUUUACAUCUCUGUCUAUGUCUGAUAUGAGAAUAAGGAACAGGAUACAGGCGAGUACCGUGCCUUGUGGAACAGAGCUCUUCACUAUGGCAGCUUCCGAUAUAACUCUGUUUACCACUACUCUUUGUGUUCGAUUGGAUAGAAAGUUGAAGAUCCAUCUGCCUACUUUGCCAGCUAUCCCUUUAGCACUCAUUUUGUGUGCUAUUACACCAUGAUUGCACUUGUCAAAGGCUUUUGCAAAAUCUGUGUAUACUACAUCUGCAUUCUGUUUGUUUUCCAGUGCAUCCAAGAACAUAUUAUAGUGGUCCACUAGUUGCAAGAGGCAGGAGCGACCUGCUCUGAACCCAUGUUGCCCUGGAUUGUAAAAUUUUUUUGGAGCCCAAGAGGUUUUCACUCCUGCCUCUUUCAAAUAUAUUUAUGAUGUGGGAUGUUAAAGCUAUUGGUCUGUAGUUCUUAGCUAUUGCUUUGCUGCCACCUUUAUGGAGUGGGGCUAUAUCUGUUGCUUUUAUUGACAGUGGAAUCUCACCUGUGUCUAUGCUCCUUCUCCAUAGCAUACUUAGGGCCCGUGAGGGGGGUUUCUUGUAGUCCUUAAUGAACAUAGUGUUCCACGAGUCUGGCAUGGGGCUGAGUGCAUGGGCAUGUUGUUGAUGGCUUUCUUAAAGUCAAGUGGAAUUAGGGUUAUGUCAGAAAUCUGGCAUAUAUUGGCAGGGUUUUGAGGCUCAUUCAUGAAAAAAUUGUCAUAUCUCACUCAUUUCUUUGCUGUCAUCUGUGUAGGAUCCAACUUGUCUGAGCCGGACCCCUAUACUAGAAGUGGUUUUAGCCUUGUUUUUGGCAUCGAAAAGAAAUAUUCGAAUUUCUUUCAAUUUCACUAAUCGCUUUUAGCUCCUCUUGCGUAUUGUGACUGCUUUUUGUUGUAGCUCUCAAGGAGAAGUUUAAGUAAAGGGUUUAUAUUGGAGCUUAAUGUUCUGUAUAUACUAUAGUAAGCACAAUAAUACGAGUGUAUGUCUUGUAUGUUUAGUAGGUUCAGGCUUUUGAAGAGUGGUGGGGUGUGUGUGGAACAGGAGCUGGUAAUCAUCUGUACAGCUGCCUUUUGUUGGGUUAUUAAAGGUUUGAGGUGGUUGGCUGGGGUUGAUCCCCAGGCACAAAUACCAUAGAUGAGGUAGGGAUAUAUUGAAGAGUGGUAUAAGGUAAGGAGUGUCAUUUGGGGUACAUAGUACCAUAUCUUGGAAAGGAUGCCUACUGAUUUGGAAAUUUUCUUGGAUAUAUUCUGGAUGUGGGAAUGAAAUUUAAGUUUACAGUCAAGGUAAAGACCUGGAAAUUUACCCUCGGUAUUUCUUGUAAUGUGGGGAACCAUUUAUCGAUAUAUUAAGUUGCAUAUUUAAGGCUGUUUCCAAACAGCAUGAAGUAUGUUUUCUCUGUGUUGAGAGCGAGUAUGUUGGUCAUCAUCUAAGUACGUAUAUAUUUUUAGCAGCUUGUUUACAGCGUUUAGAAAACCCAGCAAUACGCUGUAGAUAACAGAUGGGAAGUACAGUGCCUGCACUCUGAAGGAGGGGGUGGGUAUAUUUGCAGUUUUGAAUUUUAGUAUCAGUGCCCCUCUGGCAAAACAGUGAUAGAGUAAUGGUGAAAGUGCUUCUUCUUUCUUUUGGGCCAACCUGCCUUGGUGGGGAAACAACCAGUGUAUUAAAAAAUAAGACAUAGUGAAGUAGAUAUGAGGUUAACUCCUCAGCCUGGGUGUUCUGCUCCAUAACCAUGAUGAAUUGAUCAAAGCCAUAUAAUAGUACACUUCCUCUGUUUCUGUUUUCUACAGUAUUGACAUCACCUCUGUAUUUUGACUGAUGCAGCCUGUUGAGCAAGCAAAAUGUCUUCACAGUAUGUGUUUCACACUGUAAUAUUAAAACUAUCACUGUUAUAUUUAGCCAUAUAAGGAAAUUGGAGUUUUGUUCAUGGGAUGAAAGUCAAUGUAGGUGAUGGGGUUUUUUCCAAGGAAUAGGAGUUAUCCUUCCUUUUUAUAGAUCAAACCUAAUUAGCUCCCAUUCCUUCACUAUAUGACCCCCCUACAGGUUUAGAGCCUCUUUUAUUGUAAUAAUUCCUUAUAGAGAAGCACCAAACCUGUAAGGGUCACACAGCACCUGCUUUAAGAAAAAAUUAUUUUGAGACAAGUGUCUUGAUGGUUUUGAUUUAAAAUAUUUACCAAUGUUAGGUUAAUAAUGUCAUCCAGUUUUAUAAGAAAGUGUGUAUUAUGUGAAAAUUAUUCAUUAAUUUUAAUAAAUGUACAGUGGAACCUUCGUUUUCAUUUGCCCUGGUUUUCGAUACGUAAAACAUUGGGUAUCUUUAUUGUAGACGUUUUGCCAUCCAGUGGCUUUAUCAAUAUAAAUUCUAGGACCUACUGUCUUCAAAUUAUAUCCUAGAAUUUGUAUUAAAGGCACUGGAUGGUAAAACAUUUAUAAUAAAGAUACCCAGAUGUUGCAAAUGUCUUAAUUUGCAUCUUGUCUGUAUUCUAUAUGUUGUUAGGUA